rnacentral:rRNA from 1 species
GACGAACGCUGGCGGCGCGCCUAAAACAUGCAAGUCGAACGAGAAGCCCGGGCUUGCCCGGGUGGACAGUGGCGAACGGGUGAGUAACACGUGAGGAACCUGCCCCGAAGACCGGGACAACACCGGGAAACCGGUGCUAAUACCGGAUGCCUUCACCGGAUCGCAUGGUCUGGUGAAGAAAUGGAUUCCGCUUCGGGAUGGCCUCGCGGCCUAUCAGCUUGUUGGUGAGGUAACGGCUCACCAAGGCAACGACGGGUAGCUGGUCUGAGAGGAUGUCCAGCCACACUGGGACUGAGACACGGCCCAGACUCCUACGGGAGGCAG